rnacentral:rRNA from 1 species
AUUGAACGCUGGCGGCAGGCCUAACACAUGCAAGUCGAGCGGAUGAAGAGAGCUUGCUCUCUGAUUUAGCGGCGGACGGGUGAGUAAUGCCUAGGAAUCUGCCUGGUAGUGGGGGAUAACGUCCGGAAACGGGCGCUAAUACCGCAUACGUCCUACGGGAGAAAGCAGGGGACCUUCGGGCCUUGCGCUAUCAGAUGAGCCUAGGUCGGAUUAGCUAGUUGGUGAGGUAAUGGCUCACCAAGGCUACGAUCCGUAACUGGUCUGAGAGGAUGAUCAGUCACACUGGAACGGAGACACGGUCCAGACUCCUACGGGAGGCAGCAGUGGGGAAUAUUGGACAAUGGGCGAAAGCCUGAUCCAGCCAUGCCGCGUGUGUGAAGAAGGUCUUCGGAUUGUAAAGCACUUUAAGUUGGGAGGAAGGGCAGUAAGUUAAUACCUUGCUGUUUUGACGUUACCGACAGAAUAAGCACCGGCUAACUUCGUGCCAGCAGCCGCAGUAACAC